GAUGAACGCCGACAGAAUGCUUAAUACAUGCAAGUUAACUUUGGCGGACGGGUGAGUAACGCGUAAAGAACUUGCCUCACAGCUAGGGACAACAUUUGGAAACGAAUGCUAAUACCUGAUACUGUGAGAGAGCUUUGCGUCCCAUUAGCUAGUGGGAGAGGUAACGUCUCACGAAGGCGAUGAUGGGUAGCCGGCCUGAGAGGGUGAUCGGCCGCAAGGGGACUGGAACACGGCGCUUACUCCUACGGGAGGCAGCAGUGGGGAAUAUUGGACAAUGGACCAAAGUCUGAUGCAGCAAUUCUGUGUGCACGAUGGAGUUUUCGGAAUGUAGAGUGCUUUGAGUUGGGAAGCGGUGCCGAGGGGAGGGGUGACGGCUGAAUACGUGCCAGCAGCCGCGGUAAUUC
rnacentral:rRNA from 1 species